rnacentral:rRNA from 1 species
GACAGAGGCCUCAAGCGUUAGGCGGAAUCACUGGGCUUAAAGCGUGUGUAGGCGGAUCGUUAAGUGUCUUGUGAAAUCCCACGGCUCACCCGUGGAACUGCUCGGUAUACUGGUCGUCUUGAGCCUUCUAGGGGCGAGUGGAACAAAUGGUGGAGCGGUGAAAUGCGUAGAUAUCAUUUGGAACGCCAAUGGUGAAAACAACUCGCUGGGGAAGUGCUGACGCUGAGACACGAAAGCCAGGGGAGCGAACGGG